GAUGAAGAACGUAGCGAAAUGCGAUAAGUAAUGUGAAUUGCAGAAUUCAGUGAAUCAUCGAAUCUUUGAACGCACCUUGCGCUCCUUGGUAUUCCGAGGAGCAUGCCUGUUUGAGUGUCAUUAAAUUCUCAACUAUUAUCAGCUUUUGUUGAUAAUGGCUUGGAUAUGGGGGUUUAUUUUGCUGGCUUCUUCACAGAUUGUCAGCUCCCCUUAAAUACAUUAGCCGGUGCCCCGCGUGGACUGUCUAUUGGUGUGAUAAUUAUCUACGCCGUGGACAUCUACAAUCAUAUGGGUUUGCACUGCUUCCAACCGUCUGUUUAUUCAGACAAUACAUGACAAUUUGACCUCAAAUCAGGUAGGACUACCCGCUGAACUUAAGCAUAUCAAUAAGCGGAGGA
rnacentral:misc_RNA from 1 species